GGUGCUUGCACCGUCUUGAGAGCGGCGGACGGGUGAGUAAUGCCUAGGAAUCUGCCUGGUAGUGGGGGAUAACGCUCGGAAACGGGCGCUAAUACCGCAUACGUCCUACGGGAGAAAGCAGGGGACCUUCGGGCCUUGCGCUAUCAGAUGAGCCUAGGUCGGAUUAGCUAGUUGGUGAGGUAAUGGCUCACCAAGGCGACGAUCCGUAACUGGUCUGAGAGGAUGAUCAGUCACACUGGAACUGAGACACGGUCCAGACUCCUACGGGAGGCAGCAGUGGGGAAUAUUGGACAAUGGGCGAAAGCCUGAUCCAGCCAUGCCGCGUGUGUGAAGAAGGUCUUCGGAUUGUAAAGCACUUUAAGUUGGGAGGAAGGGCAAUUACCUAAUACGUAGUUGUUUUGACGUUACCGACAGAAUAAGCACCGGCUAACUCUGUGCCAGCAGCCGCGGUAAUACAGAGGGUGCAAGCGUUAAUCGGAAUUACUGGGCGUAAAGCGCGCGUAGGUGGUUUGUUAAGUUGGAUGUGAAAUCCCCGGGCUUAACCUGGGAACUGCAUUCAAAACUGACAAGCUAGAGUAUGGUAGAGGGUGGUGGAAUUUCCUGUGUAGCGGUGAAAUGCGUAGAUAUAGGAAGGAACACCAGUGGCGAAGGCGACCACCUGGACUGAUACUGACACUGAGGUGCGAAAGCGUGGGGGAGCAAACAGGAUUAGAUACCCUGGUAGUCCACGCCGUAACGAUGUCAACUAGCCGUUGGGAGCCUUGAGCUCUUAGUGGCGCAGCUAACGCAUUAAGUUGACCGCCUGGGGAGUACGGCCGCAAGGUUAAAACUCAAAUGAAUUGACGGGGGCC
rnacentral:rRNA from 1 species